rnacentral:rRNA from 1 species
AACGAACGCUGGCGGCGUGCCUAACACAUGCAAGUCGUGCGAGAAAGUUCCUUCGGGAGCGAGUAAAGCGGCGCACGGGUGAGUAACACGUAGGUAACCUGCCCCCCAGUCUGGAACAACUAGAGGAAACUCUAGCUAAUGCCGGAUGAGACCACGAUCCCUUCGGGGGUUGCGGCCAAAGAUGGCCUCUACUUGUAAGCUAUCGCUGAGGGAUGGGCCUGCGGGCCAUUAGCUUGUUGGUGAGGUAACGGCUCACCAAGGCUGUGAUGGCUAGCUGGUCUGAGAGGAUGACCAGCCACACUGGGACUGAGACACGGCCCAGACUCCUACGGGAGGCAGCAGUGGGAAUAUUGCGCAAUGGGCGAAAGCCUGACGCAGCGACGCCGCGUGGGUGAUGAAGGCCUUGG